UGCAGAGUUCUCUGUCAUCUGAGAUGACAAGAAGUUUGUUCCAAUUUUGUGGGUUUUCCCCAAAAUCCCACAAGCAUGGUCUGUUCAGGAGAAAACAUCAGACAAACCGAGACUGUGAGACAUUCUGCAGGGUAUCUAGUCAGUCCUGAUCAAGACUGCCACAAGAAGGAAACACUCCCUGAAGAGUGAUGGUCUGGAAGAGAGACGGGGGUGCUGGCUGAUGAGGAGAGCAUCCUGUGACCACACCCUAGCAGGACCCGGCCUGACUUCCAUCAGGUGACUCCUGAGAAAGGGUCAUUUGACCACAAAGUGGUUGCGCCCCACAGGUUGAGAACCACUGUCUUAGAAGAUGCUGAGAGCUGCAGUAUAUCCAGGAAUAUUUGUUUCCUAAGGAAUGGCCAACCAGAGUCUUUCCCUUGAUGCAAAGCUCCCAUUUCACACACGAGGUAAUCAAUCUCAUUACUCCCAACAAGGAGCGUCAAGAAUGAAGGAGUUUUGACAAGAGAGAUGGCUCAGAGGUUCGCAACACCUCCUGCUGCUCUUACAGAUGACCUGGGUUCCGUUCCUAACGUCCACACCAUGGCUGACAAAUGGUCUGUAACUCUAGUUCCCGGGAUCUGAGGCUCUCUUCCGACCUCUGGGAACACGGAAGACCUGGAGCGCAUCAAGCAUGAAGGUUAACACCCACACACAUAAAAAAUAAAAAUAAGUCUUUAAGGAAAAUGAAUUAAUGAGUUUUUCUUUUGUUUUCUAAGUAUGUGGGGAAACAGGAUAGAUAAUUUUAACGUGAAAUAUUCAUGAAAUAAACCAUAUCAGACUCUUCCCUGAAUCAGUAUUUUCAAAACUCGAGCACAAAUGGGAAUCAUCUGGAGGGCUUGUGGAAGCACAGACGUCUAGACCUGACCCCAGGGCUUCUGACUCAGUCCGUCUGGGACAAGGCUGCAGAAUUUGCAUUUCUAACAAGCUUCCAGGUGCUGCUGCUGACACUGUUGAUCAAGGCAUCCGAACCAUGAGAACCGCUGCAUCGAACAUCUGAGUCAUCCUUACUCAAGCAAACAUAAAGUGUGCUGGAGUAGGGGCAGCUCUCCAAAGCCUGGACAGGAAGGGCUCGCCACUGAGCAGGAAAUUCACAUCCGGGGAGCUUGCACAUGGAUCAAAGUCCCUCUGAGAAGCAAGAAGACAGCACAUUAGAAGCCAGCCCCUUGUGUGGAGGAUGAUUACUACCAGAGCAACUCUGAUUAAGUAAUGCAGCUCAGCAUGAAAUGGACACCGUGGGCCUCGGGGUACAAGUCCUAACCAGCAUCUUCAUUCUUUCACCAAUAGUUCAUCCUCCCUUUGGGCACUCGGCUCCUACCCCUUAGAUUCCAGUGACUCCACCCUCUGAAGACCAAGGAGCAUCCCAAACUUAGAUCUGCUCAAUACGCAUGAGCCACACUCUCACUCAGCCCACGAUUGGUGCAGAACUGGCACAUGACGUUAGUUA